CCUACGGGAGGCUGCAGUGAGGAAUAUUGGUCAAUGGGCGCGAGCCUGAACCAGCCAAGUAGCGUGAAGGAUGACUGCCCUACGGGUUGUAAACUUCUUUUAUCAAGGAAUAAAGUGAGGCACGUGUGCCUUUUUGUAUGUACUUUAUGAAUAAGGAUCGGCUAACUCCGUGCCCGCAGCCGCGGUAAUACGGAGGGUUCGAACGUUAUCCGGAUUUAUUGGGGUUAAAGGGAGCGGAGAGGGGUUGGUAAGUCAAGUGUGAAAGCCCGGGGCGCAACCCCGGGACUGCCUUUGGAACUGGAAGGCUAGAGUGGCAGAGAGGCAUGCGGAAUGCGUGGUGUAGCGGUGAAAGGCGUAGAUAUCAGGAGGAACACCGGUUGCGAAGGCAGCCUGCUGGACUGCAACUGACGUUGAGGCACGAAAGCGUGGGGAUCGAACAGGAUUAGAUACCCUUGUAGUC
rnacentral:rRNA from 1 species